UACGGAGGGUGCGAGCGUUGUCCGGAAUCACUGGGCGUAAAGGGCGCGUAGGCGGCAUGCCAAGCGUGUGGUGAAAGCCCGGGGCUCAACCCCGGGUCGGCCGUGCGGACUGGCGUGCUCGAGCACUGUAGGGGCGGGUGGAAUUCCGGGUGUAGCGGUGGAAUGCGUAGAGAUCCGGAAGAACACCGGUGGCGAAGGCGGCCCGCUGGCCCAUAACUGACGCUCAGGCACGAAAGCGUGGGUAGCGAACAGG
rnacentral:rRNA from 1 species